ACACACACACACACACACACACACACUGUGCAUAUCUGACUGUGGGUCCUGGCACUCCUGUUCUGUAGAUGUUAUUGCAUCUUUCAGCAGUGUCUGACAUGCGAGUUGUUGUCUUUUGUCAAGUCCUCCAUUUUGUGCUUUUGUCUUGGUGGGUCCAGUCAGACAUGCGUCAAAAUGAUUAUGAGACAUCACAGUCAUCAUACAGCAUUGAUGGACCUCCACUGUUUUCAGACGACUACACCUCAGCAUCCUCUGCCUCUUCUCACACAUGCUCACAUCUACAUUUUUUUUACACCCCUACUAUUUUUUCUCCUCCCCCACUCUCUCUCUCUCUCUCUCUCUCUCUCUCUCUCUCUUCAUGAUAGGCCUGUCACAUCUUGUAAAUAUUGUCUGUCCAUCUGUGUGUGUGUGUGUGUGUUUGUGUGAGGUGUGGAGAUGAGAAGCGGGAGACAGGUCUGCUCUCGACGAUGCUCCUGGGGCACAAAAAAAAUCUGACGGGCAGUGGUUUGCCUGUUUCCAUAGCAACCACAUUCUAAUUACUCCUGCUCCCGCUUCGCCACGACAGCAUAGAACAGCUAUUGUGUGCGUGUGUGUUUUGGUUCAUAAACAGCUGUCUUCUCCUCCCAAUCAGCUCUGACGAAGGCAGCUGACUUAAAAUGGCCACUUCGGUGCAUCCAAGCGCAGUAGUAGUGAUGUAGUGACUCUGUUUAAGCUAGCACAACCCCCACCCCUCCCCCUUCCAAUCUUUCCCUCUUCAGAUGCCCUCCCUUGUAUACAAACCACGUGAUCCGUAUUGCUAGAACGUCAUUGGCUGAAGCAACCGUAGCGUCUGGCCAAUCAGGCUUAAGCGCUGAAAUGGACAUAAACUGAGCUGCUUGGAGAUGCUUUCAGACUUUAGAGUGCUGAUGGGCAUGAACGGCCAGACGAAAGCGACCCUUGGCUAAAGCUUGCUCUGUUUUCAUCUGCACACACACACACACACACACACACACACACACAAAGCAUCCCGGGAGCCAUCUGCUGUCAUCCUUCUGGCCAUCCGAUUGUCCCUGUACUUGGUCAGGGUUCAUCUCUGCUACACUGGGUUGGACCAACGUGGAGCCGCGCUCCCAAACAUGGAGGUGACAAUGGCAUUGACAACAAUUGAAGGCUGCUCGCUUAGGAUGCUGCCUAAACCAAGAGCCUGACAGAUGUCAUCACAGACGACUGCAGGUUGUAUGGUCAAGCUGAGAUGCUUAAUAUCCUGUUACACCAGUAGGUGCCAGGCCAUGCCUCCAACACCUCAGCAAGCGUCUAGCAGCCUGCUCCUCAACCCAAUGUAUUCCUAGCCAGAUCAACAAGAGUGGAAGAGAUUCGAUGGACCUACUUGCCUUUUGGUUUUACAUUAAAUUUACUCCCAUUAUCAACUCUAACCAGUGCAUGCAAGACUGUAGCUCUCUUUUUUGGCAUGCAUAUGCAUACACAGGUGUUUUAUCCUUGUCUACUCCACUUGUUAUUCAUAGGCAUACCCCCAGCAUUUCUGAAAAAAAAUGACUCCCGACUGUACUGCAUCUAAAUUCAUCACAUGGUCUUUGCGGUCAGUGUUUCCAGCAAAUGAUUUUUCCGUUAAUGAUAUCUAUUUGUUUUCUUUGAAGUAAUGCCCAUUUCUUUGAUGUGAAUCAUUAUUAACUGUUAUGAAAAUCGUUAAAGGGAGGAAACGGCAUAAUUAGCAUGCCAAUUGUGGAAUGGAUAAAUGUCCCUUUUCCUUUUUGUGCCAGAAAGCCCCAUUAGGUGCACAGACCAUAACAUGCAAAGAUAUGUGCAAUAUAUGCUUAACAGCCUCCAUUAUAAAUUAGCUUUUUAGUUUCUUUCCAGCUGAGAUUUGAAAUUUAACAUCUAACUAGGCUAAUUAAGCAGCUUUGACUUUGAAGGAGGUUUUGAGUUUGAUCCUAUAACUAUGUCCUAACCAGACGUAAUACUACGACACGAUUGAAAGGUAUAUUUUGCAUAUUAAGAGUUUUUCUCAUAACCAGAUACUUAUAAGUAUAAUAGGUAAUAAUAUAAUAGGUUUAAUAAUAGGUACUUUGUACAUUAUUUGGAUUUAAAAGGUUUUGAUUAUCAUGUUGUGUGACCUUUUUAGCCAUACUGAAAGUGGCUGUGAAUAAUGUAAUUUACUUUACAAUAAAAUUUGUUAAAACUGAA